GUCAAUGGAAUUUUAUAGGAGGCUAUCCCUGUUACACAGCUUGUAUAGGGAAAUUGCUGCUGUUAUGCAGGAGUUCACUCACUCCGGUGGCGUUCGUACUUUCGGAGUUUCACUACUGGUUGCUGGGUUUGACGACAAAGGUCCACAAUUGUAUCAGAGUACUAACACCAGCUGAAAUUGAUGAUUACUUGGCUGAAGUGUAGUUCAUUUCCCUUUAAUGAAGAAACUGGAGAGAACUUUUAUUAUAGGGCAAGGACUGGUUGAGUUAUUCGAUUUAUACUGGUCCUUGUUACUGCAAAAUGCCUUGUUUGUCAUGAUGAUCUACUUAAUUAUAUGUACUUGUACACUUCCCCCCCCCCCCCCUUCUUCUCUCUCUCUGUUGCAAGUGGUAGUGGUACUGAUUGGAUGAUUUUGUUUACUGAAAUUACUAUUCGAUAUCACUUUAGUAAGUUAUCACCUUUUUUAUUUUA